rnacentral:rRNA from 1 species
AGAGUUUGAUCAUGGCUCAGGAUGAACGCUGGCGGCGUGCCUAACACAUGCAAGUCGAGCGGAGAUAUAUGUCUAAGAGACUUCGGUCAAAUUAAUUAUAUCUAGUGGCGAACGGGUGAGUAACGCGUGAGCAACCUGCCCCGGAGUGGGGGACAACAGUUGGAAACGACUGCUAAUACCGCAUGAUAUAUACUAACGGCAUCGUUGGUAUAUCAAAGAUUUAUUGCUCUGGGAUGGGCUCGCGUCUGAUUAGAUAGUUGGCGGGGUAACGGCCCACCAAGUCGACGAUCAGUAGCCGGACUGAGAGGUUGAACGGCCACAUUGGGACUGAGAUACGGCCCAGACUCCUACGGGAGGCAGCAGUGGGGAAUAUUGGGCAAUGGGGGAAACCCUGACCCAGCAACGCCGCGUGAAGGAAGAAGGCCUUCGGGUUGUAAACUUCUUUUGUUGAGGACGAAGAAAGUGACGGUACUCGACGAAUAAGCUACGGCUAACUACGUGCCAGCAGCAGC